UCAAGUGAAUAAGCGCAUAUGGUGGAUGCCUUGGCAGUAAGAGGCGAUGAAGGACGUAGUAGCCUGCGAUAAAGCUUCGGGGAGCUGGCAAACAAGCAAUGAUCCGAAGAUUUCCGAAUGGGGAAACCCAACCCUUCGGGGUUAUCGUGUACUAAAUUCAUAGGUAUACGAAGCAAACCUGGAGAACUGAAACAUCUAAGUAUCCAGAGGAAAAGAAAUCAACCGAGAUUCCGUUAGUAGCGGCGAGCGAAUGCGGAAGAGCCCAGUUACCAAAUCGCUAUUUGUUCUAGCAGAAUGUUCUGGAAAGUUCAGCCAUAGUAGGUGAUAGUCCCGUAUGCGAAAGGCGAAUAGUGUGGAUAACAAUGAGUAGGUCGGGACACGUGUAAUCCUGACUGAAGAUGGGGGGACCAUCCUCCAAGGCUAAAUACUCCUUACUGACCGAUAGUGAACUAGUACCGUGAGGGAAAGGUGAAAAGAACCCCGGCGAGGGGAGUGAAAUAGAACCUGAAACCGUAUGCGUACAAGCAGUCGGAGCAUUUUUCUGAAAUGUGACGGCGUACCUUUUGUAUAAUGGGUCAGCGACUUACUUGUUGUAGCGAGCUUAACCGUUUAGGGGAGGCGUAGAGAAAUCGAGUCUGAAAUGGGCGUUUAGUUGCAAUGAGUAGACCCGAAACCGAGCGAUCUAUCCAUGGCCAGGAUGAAAGUUAGGUAAUACUGACUGGAGGUCCGAACCCACUAAUGUUGAAAAAUUAGGGGAUGAGUUGUGGAUAGGAGUGAAAGGCUAAUCAAGCUCGGAGAUAGCUGGUUCUCCUCGAAAGCUAUUUAGGUAGCGCCUCGUGUAUAAUUCUUGGGGGUAGAGCACUGUUUCGGCUAGGGGACCACCAGGUCUAUCAAACCGAAGCAAACUCCGAAUACCAAUGAAAUUUAGCACGGGAGACACACUGCGGGUGAUAAGGUCCGUGGUGGAAAGGGAAACAGCCCAGACCGUCAGCUAAGGUCCCAAAAUCACAGUUAAGUGGUAAACGAUGUGGGAAGGCUUAGACAGCCAGGAGGUUGGCUUAGAAGCAGCCAUCCUUUAAAGAAAGCGUAAUAGCUCACUGGUCGAGUCGUCCUGCGCGGAAGAUUCAACGGGGCUCAAACUGUGUACCGAAGCUACGGGACUCUUUAUUAAGAGUCGGUAGAGGAGCGUUCUGUAAGCCUGCGAAGGCAAACCGAGAGGUUUCCUGGAGGUAUCAGAAGUGUGAAUGCUGACAUAAGUAACGAUAAUGUGGGUGAAAAACCCACACGCCGAAAGUCUAAGGUUUCCUGCGCAACGUUAAUCGGCGCAGGGUGAGUCGGCCCCUAAGGUGAGGCAGAAAUGCGUAGCUGAUGGAAAACAGGUUAAUAUUCCUGUACUUGUGCAAUACUGCAAUGGGAGGACGGAGAAGGCUAGAUCAGCCGCCCGAUCGGUCGUGGUGGUUUAAGUGUGUAGGGAGAGUACUUUGGUAAAUCCGGGAACUCAAUCUUGAGACAUGAUGACGAAGUACAUACUUGUGUGUACGAAGUGAUUAAUGCCAUGCUUCCAGGAAAAGUCCCUAAGCUUCAGGUAUUGUGGAACCGUACUGUAAACCGACACAGGUAGACAGGUAGAGAAUACCAAGGCGCUUGAGAGAACUUGGGUGAAGGAACUAGGCAAAAUAGCACCGUAACUUCGGGAGAAGGUGUGCCCUUGGUAGGUGAAAGUUUUACAGCUGGAGCUGAAAAGGGUUGCAAUAACUAGGUGGCUGAGACUGUUUACUAAAAACACAGCACUCUGCAAACUCGCAAGAGGACGUAUAGGGUGUGACGCCUGCCCGGUGCCGGAAGGUUAAAUGAUAGGGUUAGUCUUUAGACGAAGCUCUAGAGUGAAGCCCCGGUGAACGGCGGCCGUAACUAUAACGGUUAUCUAUAUGUUUAUAUGUAUUAUAUUUAUUUUAUAUAUUUAUUCUACCUCUAUAGUGGCUGUUAUAAAAUUUGGCUAUAUGCUGGAAACUCCGAGUAUCCUGCAGUACUCACUUUACAUAAUUAAAAAUACCUUAAACAUUAAGUUAUUGGGUUAAUUUAUUGAGUUAAUUUUACGGGGUAGUUUUAUGCGAAGUAGUAACAAUCUGACAGGUGCGGACAAUCAGCAGGAAAGAUUGAAAUUAAUUGAUGUGAAAAUUAACUUCAGAAUCCUCAGAGACUACAUGCCGGACACUAAUGCUUCAUUAGUGAAGAUAUAGUCCGACCUCUAUGGCGACAUGGAGAAUCUGGCGGAAAUGACCAGAUCUUUUUCGAUUUUUGAUUUUGAUAAUCAAAGUAUGGGAAAGUAACAAACUGCCUAAGGUAGAAAAUGUGAUGUCUUAAUAUCGCUGCUUUAGUAAAAUUUGGCUAUAUGCUGGAAACUCCGAGUAUCCUGCAGUACUCACUUUACAUAAUUAAAAAUACCUUAAACAUUAAGUUAUUGGGUUAAUUUAUUGAGUUAAUUUUACGGGGUAGUUUUAUGCGAAGUAGUAACAAUCUGACAGGUGCGGACAAUCAGCAGGAAAGAUUGAAAUUAAUUGAUGUGAAAAUUAACUUCAGAAUCCUCAGAGACUACAUGCCGGACACUAAUGCUUCAUUAGUGAAGAUAUAGUCCCGUCUGCAUGGCGACAUGCAGGAAAAGUAAGAUGCUUUUUACUUUUCGGCUUGUUCAAUUUGUAUUGAAUAUAAGUCAAGAUUACAAGCGAAAUUCCUUGUCGGGUAAGUUCCGACCUGCACGAAUGGCGUAACGAUGGCCACACUGUCUCCACCCAAGACUCAGUGAAAUUGAAAUCGCUGUGAAGAUGCAGCGUACCCGCGGCUAGACGGAAAGACCCCGUGAACCUUUACUAUAGCUUUACACUGAACUUUGAAUAUGUCUGUGUAGGAUAGGUGGGAGACUUCGAAGCUGGAGCGCCAGCUUCAGUGGAGUCGACCUUGAAAUACCACCCUGACGUGUUUUGGGUUCUAACCUUGAUCCGUUAUCCGGGUCGGAGACAGUGUAUGGUGGGUAGUUUGACUGGGGCGGUCUCCUCCUAAAGAGUAACGGAGGAGCACAAAGGUACCCUCAGCACGGUCGGAAAUCGUGCAAUGUGUGCAAAGGCAUAAGGGUGCUUGACUGCGAGACAAACAAGUCGAGCAGGUACGAAAGUAGGUCUUAGUGAUCCGGUGGUCCUUUAUGGAAAGGCCAUCGCUCAACGGAUAAAAGGUACUCCGGGGAUAACAGGCUAAUACCACCCAAGAGUUCAUAUCGACGGUGGUGUUUGGCACCUUGA
rnacentral:rRNA from 1 species